rnacentral:rRNA from 1 species
GAUGAACGCUGGCGGCGUGCCUAAUACAUGCAAGUCGAGCGAACAGACGAGGAGCUUGCUCCUCUGACGUUAGCGGCGGACGGGUGAGUAACACGUGGAUAACCUACCUAUAAGACUGGGAUAACUUCGGGAAACCGGAGCUAAUACCGGAUAAUAUAUUGAACCGCAUGGUUCAAUAGUGAAAGACGGUUUUGCUGUCACUUAUAGAUGGAUCCGCGCCGCAUUAGCUAGUUGGUAAGGUAACGGCUUACCAAGGCAACGAUGCGUAGCCGACCUGAGAGGGUGAUCGGCCACACUGGAACUGAGACACGGUCCAGACUCCUACGGGAGGCAGCAGUAGGGAAUCUUGCGCAAUGGGCGAAAGCCUGACGGAGCAACGCCGCGUGAGUGAUGAAGGUCUUCGGAUCGUAAAACUCUGUUAUUAGGGAAGAACAAAUGUGUAAGUAACUAUGCACGUCUUGACGGUACCUAAUCAGAAAGCCACGGCUAACUACGUG